UAGAAAUAUUGGCUUAAAACUGAUCUUUGAUGAGACACUCUGAAAGCAAUGCUUUAUUUGAUGCUAAAAGCACUUAUGUAUACCAUCUUCUAAAUUUUUAAAAUCACAUAAUUUAUAUAACACUAUGGAAUGGGUCAUCGUUUGAAUUAAAAUUUAUCAACCCUUCUUUUAACAGUUUUCAUUCUUGUUAAAAGUCGUAAAGGUCCGUUUAACAAGUAAACUUUCAUUUAACUUCCACACUACGAGUAGUUUCGAGCAAAUUGAUGUAUACUUUUUUUUGAUGUAUAUCACAUUGAAUACUUCACAGUGACAAUAUAAAUAUUUUCCACGCUCUGUUUGGUAAAGGGUGAACUUUUUCCAUUUUAAAACACAUUUUUCUCAUAUUUCCCAGUUCAUCUAAAACUUAUGUACCUAUUUGAAUGGUUAAUGAAGCAUGGCUGUGAUAAGAAUAUGUAUGUAGGCACAUGACAUUUAUAGAUGGAUUGCUGUGUACCUGAAGGUUAGCCAAGUAUGGGACUAUGAAAAAUGUCUCUCGUGACAUAGGAAUAAACUCCCCUGUUUCUCUCAAGUUGCAUCGGUUAUCUUUUAGAAAGACAAUAAUUAAUAUGUAAAUUACAGGGAAGGUUUGCAGCCUUUUUUAUAUUAAGCCCUAUUUUAUACUUUUUUAUCGUACCACUGUCUGAGGCAUUCAUAUGUAGACCCCAACUACAAAUGCUUAUCUUUAUACUUUAAUAUUCAUUCUUUCAUCAUUUCAUUCAUGGACAAGGCAAGAUUAAGUAGGCCCCAUACUUAGGCAAAACAAGCUUUGAUGUAUGUGUAUUCUCUAAUUACGGAUUAAUGAGCUGUAACUGCAUAUUUUACUUGCUACAUUUUCUCAUGUGAAUAAAUAUACUAUUAGUUGAUCACAUGUUAUUUUGUUUCCUAGCAUGAUGUAUUUGCAAGUAUAUUACAAGAGUGUUGCAAAUUAAUGUAAGAUUUAGGUUUUUUAUUAAACUAUUACAGUAUGUCUACUUUUUUCAGGGUAUCUUCAUGGCUGGUGUAGGCUCUGUGUGUAUAUGUGAGUGUGUGUGUGUGUAAAUGCCUGUGUUGUGUUUGUGAAAGAGAGUGUAGAUGCUGCAUGAUGACAAUGACAGCUGCCUGAUUGCAAACUUAGUAAUGUGUCAGUACAUCAAAGCAAGUGCUUACAAAGUUUCACAACCUCUUUUUAAUUUUUUAUUUGCCAGUCAUUGUGCUAACUUCUUACACUCACUGUGUUCAACUUUCUUGCAAAAUCAAAUUAAAAAUAUUUAAAUCUUGUGUGAAAAGUAUUUUGAAAGGCCUAAUAUGUCAAUUCUAUGAGUCUAUCAAUGCAUUACAAUAAAAAGUAACCACAGAAGCUGAAUACAAAAAUUAUUUUAAAUUACUCGACAGAAACAAUUGCAUGAUCUAUGAAUACAGUAACUCAGAAGGUAAGUAAACUGAGUAAAUUGGCUACAAACAGCCAGGUAACCCGGUACUGACAGCUACCUGCUGUAAAUAGAAUCAUGUAUGACCCCCAGGUGUGGGAAUGUGAACUCCUCCAUUGGGAAAACCCUGUAGAGGGAGGGUCAAGUCAGUCGACUGUCUGUCUGAUUGCUUCUCUACCAAUCUGUUUGAUUGUCAGUCUGUUCAAACUGUAAACCACCCAACACUACAACGCUGUGAAGGGCUCCUCUUUCAUGAGGAAGUGAGUACAUUUGUCGUCAAAGCUGACUUCCUGUUAAUUACUUAGUUAAUUAUGACCGGGACACACUGCGCACGACAUUUUCAAACUCUGUGAUUCACUUUGUGAGGACUGGCACCAAGCUGUGGAGACUAGCCUUCAAAGACGUUCUUGUGUUUUAGCGACAACGACUAGAGGCAACAUGGUGGCAACCAUGACGAGGAGUAGUCUGCCACAGAGUGUUUUAUUCAUCCACAUCUACAUCCUCUUGCUGUGCUCCUUUUGUUUUGUCGUCACAUUAACACAAGAGGGCAACAUCACGUGCUCUGUGCCGUCAGUGUAUCCGUACCAGGAAUACUAGUUCUG